ACCAUUUGUAGAACUACAAGCUCAGUUCAUAUGGUAACAACUUCUGUUGGAAAGUUAACUGGAAGAAUUUCCUUCUGGAGUGGAGUUACAGGAGCAGUAAACAGACUAAGACAGAAAAGGAAAAGAAAUCCAAGGUUGGUUGUACACAUCAAGUUUAUUUACAUCUAUUGGCCCAAACUUAGUCAUACAGUCACAUCUAUUAACAAGAGCAUCUGGGAAAUACAGACUUAUGGCAAAGGAGUGGGAGUGUUCAUGGCAGUCUCCCUGUCUCUGCUGCAUCAUGUACACUGGACAAGAGGUAAAGAAACUGCAUUAGUUACUUUUCUCUCAUUGCUGGGACAAAAUACCUGACACCCAAAGUUAAAGGGGAAGAGGUUUAUUUGGCUUAUAGUUCAUAAAGGUUUCAGUCUAUAAUUGGCUGGCUCCAAGGAAGGGUGGCAGAAAGGUAACAGUGCAAAAGCAACAAGAAAGCUUAAAAGCAUCUUUCUGCCCUUUUUUAUCCUAUUCAGACUACUUAGGGCAGGUAGCACUCAUGCCCUUAAUCCUUGUGCCCUUGGGCCUAGCCCCACCAUGGCUCAAUUAUGCACUCUAGAUUUAGCUACCUCCAAAAGAGCCCCACCUCAUUUGCAUAAGGCUUUGUGGGAGGGACAUCUAAAGACAAGUCAUAACAUUCCACCCCUGGCCCCCUAAAGAUUCAUGCACAUCUCUUCUUGCAAAAGCAUUUAGUCCAUCUCUAAAUGUUGUUAAAGUCCUAUCAGUUUUAGCAUUGCUGAAAAUUCCAAGUCCAAAGUCUUCUCUGAGAUUUAAGGUAAAUUCUUAGCUGUGAUCCAAUGUAUAAAUGAAAAGAAAGUUAAGCACUUGCAACAUUCAAUGGCACAAGAUAGACAUUUCCAUUCCAAAAGUUACAAGCAGGGGGAUACAAAGGAAUAGGACCAAAGCAAGUCCAAAAUCCAUCAGGGAAAACAUUAAAUCCACUUCCAGCAUCCCAGGCAAUCUGUGGCAAGUUGUGAACUCCAAAGGGCUUGGGUGUCUCUGUCUCUAUGAUACUUCUGGUUGUAGCUCCCAUAACUUCUCUCUUGGGCUGUGUCUGCUCCCUCCUUGCAGUUUUCCUCAGACAAGCCAUGGUCCUGGCUUCUCCAAACUUCUGGGGUCUCCACUGCACCUUCAGCUUCACACUCACACCUUCACACACUGCCCUCUCGGGACACACUGCCUGGCCACCCAGGACUUCUUCUGAAAGCUGAGUGGAAGCCUUCCUGACCCCACAACUCUUGCAUUUUGCAUGUGCCUAAAACCCGAACCACGUGGAUGAUGCCAAGGUCUACUGUCAGUUGGAGUAGUAGUAGCCAGGUCUUCCCUUUCUCUUGGAUGUAGUGGUCGAGUGCCUGGAUUGCUGAGUACUCUGAAUCCAAUUCCAAGGAACAAAUUCUCUAGGUCACCACCAUUCUGAAACAUGCUGCUCUGGGGCUUUUCUCAAAGCAAAGUCUUUCACUUUUGCAAUUUUGAGGCUGCAAAGGGUGGAAUCCUGCUGCUUCUUGUGACACCCUAAGGCUGUCUUUUCUACUCUUCUGUUCCUUCUCAGCAAUAAAGGUCUCCUCUGCUUCAUCUUUGCAGGCCAAAACUUUACUGGAGCUUCCUUUCUGGCCAAACUCAAAACAUUUUAAAUCAUUCUUCUAGGCUUCUUGCUCUUGAUUCUCAACAUAGAUCUGGCUAAAAGCUCCCAGCAAUAGCCAUACCACUGCCUCAAUAUUUGACUGCCUUGAAAUCUCUUCUGCAAAAUUAGUCCACUCCCCCUAAUCUCAGUCUCAGGCAAAAUCUCUGGACAUGAGAAAAAUGCAGACAAACUUUCUGCCAACCAUAACACACAUCAUUUGGAGUCCAACAGCCAGUGCAGUCCUUCCCAGCAAAAACCUUCUGAGCUGGGUCUUUACUGGCUUUCUGGUCUUCUGAGCUCUGACCAGACUCUCCCAUACAGAACAGCCUAAGGUGUUCUCUACUUCUGCUGCCAACAUCUCCAAAUCUUUUCUAACUCUUCCCCAUCCCACAAACCAGUUCCAAAGGCUCUUAAGCCACAGGUAAUGUCCAGGUAAUGUCACAGCAAUGACCCCACUCCUGGUACCAAAUUUCUGUGUUAGUGACUUUUCUCUCAUUAUUGAGACAAAAUGCCUGACAACCAAAGUUAAAGGAGAAGAGGUUUAUUUGGCUUACAGUUGGAGGAGGUUUCAGUCCAUAAUUGGCUUGCUCCAAGGCAGGGUGGCAGAAGGGCAACAGUCAUGGUGAUGGAAGAGAGCAAAAGCAACAAGAGAGCUUGAGAGUAUAUUUAUGCCCCUUUUAUCCUAUUCAGACUGCUUAGGAUGGGUAGCACUCAUCCUUAAUCUUAGUACUCUCGGGCCUAGCCCCACCAUAAAUCAAUCAUGCACUUUAAAUUCUGCUACCUCCAAAAUAGCCCCAUCUCAUUUGCAUGAGGCUUUGGGGGACAUCUAAAGACAAGCCAUAAUGGAUAUCUUGCCUUUAGCUUAUAGAUCCAUGGAACACAAAGAUUCACAUAAAGGCAUUAUGAAGAGAAAUGUAUGCUCUAAAUAGUCUGGGAUUUGGGCUAUCUAGCUAGAUAGGAAUUUUGUCAUCCUUGAGGACAGGGUAAAUGUGUUCAUAUUUGAGAAGAAAAUAAAACCAGUAUUUGGUGGCCCAAGGAAUGGACUGAAACAGAGGAGCAGUUUUUGUGCUUUCUCUUCAACACUGUAGAGUUGUUGCUGUCCUGCCAGGAACUGGACUUCUGUUUGUACUUUCAUCCUCCCAACUAAUUCCCAGCAGCACAACAUGUUCAGACACAGUGGGUAUUAUGUCUGAGGCAUGGAAAUUAAGAAGCAUUUGUGCUUUCUCUACAUCCUCUUCAUUGUCUGCUGGAUGGAUACAGACAACUCUCAAAUCCUACAGGAUAGCACACCACAAGAUGAAAGGAAACUGAGUUCUGAAAUCUCCAAGCAG
ensembl:lncRNA